ensembl:lncRNA
AGCUUUCCGCCUGGCGGGCCCCUUUUCCGAGCCUCACAGGACGCUGCCCCAGAGCCUGUGUAAUCAGUUAAAGCAGAAGCCCCAGAGCCCCAUGGCUUCCUAACUUCCAGUCCCCUUCCGACCUGGGGAAGCAGGUUCACCCAACCAGAGUCACCUCCACAAGGUAGUGGCUUGUGCUUUGUUUUGCUGAAAAAAUUCAAAUCCCGUUAAUGUUUUGGUUCUUUUUAAAGAACUUUGGACAAUAAUAUACGUUACAAGAGCUUUAUGUGGAGGAGGCACUAGAGAGGUGAGGUACCCUUCAUUGUAGGACAAGCCUUGGCUUUGAAGUGUGAAGAACAGGGGUUCGAAUCUCAGCUUUGCCCCUUGCUGUCCGUGUGACCUUAUUCUCUCGGAACUCCGAGUAACAGGCGAGGAUGACUCCUGGCUUGAGGGUCAGCAACGAAGUCCUUAAAGGAAUUUGCAUCGCGACCUCCCAGCUGACCGUGAACCUGAAGCCCGCAUCCCAUCGUGCACCCGCCGAGGGUUCACAUGAAAUCCACAACGGCAGUCACACCCUCAAACUGAAGCCGAUUUUCCGAUUUCGAAAGCCGGACUGCAGCAUUAAAAAAGGCUUUGUUUUCUUCUUCUUCUCCCUCUCUUCCUCCUUCCUCCCCCGCCUCCCCGGGCCAAGUCUCUCCCAGCGCGCACACAAAAGAAGACCCCGAGGCCAAGGUACCGGAACCUGCGGGUUUGUUUACCACUUCGGGCGUCUCGGCGAGGUGCUGCCUGGCACCGCCACCUACCGGCGGGAGUCGGCCCUGCUCCCGGGAGCGGGCCAAAAACUGCCGGCCGAUGACCCAACGCCGCAGGCAUCUGAGGAUAACCUUUCCCCUUUCUUUCCAAGACCAAAUAAGGGGGCUCUUCCCUCAGCGUGCUGGGCCUGUGGCGGUUAGGCCAAGGGGCGUGGAUUGGAGAAUGCAGGAACGAGGCUGACAGUCCGCAAAACAACCGACCACAUUGUUCCUGUGGCGGCCGGCCUCCUCCCUCCUCCGGGCGGGCACGGCCCGUGCCCAGGCGGGGCGCUCCCUGCCUCCGCAGGCGUGGAGAGCCGGGCGGGCGACUGGGCAGGGCAGCCGUCCCGGGGACCCCGAACCCCAUCGGUAGCACUGCCAAGCCGCUGCCCCCACCCCAAGGAGUGGAGGGCAGGGUGCCCGCGGGCCCCGCCCCCUUGCCGCACUCCCCGCAGACCCUCAGGGCUGUGGGGCCGCAGAAGGGCGGGUCUCUGGGCCCUGGCGGGGCGGGGGGCGCAGACGGAGGGGAGCCAGGCCCCGCGGCCAGGCCUCGGAACCCUGGCAUCGCCCCCGAGGGAGGGAGUCACUGGUGGUUGACAGUGUUUGGUAACCACAGAAACCAAGAUUUGACCUAUAUUUUUGAAUAUGGCCUCAACUCUAGUUUUCCUUCUAGAAAUCAAAGGGAGAGAGUCUGACCUGACUUGCUGUUGAUUUUCCUCCUGCCCGGCGUUCCAGAAUGCCACCCAGAAGGUUGGGCGAGGCGGGAGACCUCACUGGCUGGUUCGCCGUGACUUGGAGGGUGACAGUGCUCUGGGCCAGGAGCAGUGGCUGUACACAUUCAGAGCCUCCUACCAACCCCAGGUCCUCCAUGACGGUGGGGAUAUUUCUGGAGGGAAAUUGGAUGAUUUUUACCAGGAUUUUAAAUGUUUACCAUUUAACUACUUCCUCCCAUUUCUAAGUUUUAUUCUAAGUAAGUAAAGAGAAUAUGAAUUCCGCUGAUGGUCACAGCCCUGGUAAUGUUGCCAACAACAGUUGGCCUUAACUGAACAUUUACUAUGUGCUGGAAACUGUUAUAAAUGUUUUAUAAAUAUCUACUUACAACAUUCUGCUGCAGUAGGUAUUCUUAAUACCCUUGUUUUAUGGAGGAGGAACCCGCAAUCAAAAGUUAGGUUUUCACUCAAAAUCACCCAGCUGGGGAGUGGUAGAGGCAGGAUUUAUGCUUGGACUGUGGAGCUCCUGAGUCUGUGCCCUUGACCGCAACACUAAAUGUUUAUCAAUGGGGAUUUGAUUAAUUUAGAGUACAUCCGUAUAAUGGAAUACUCUCCAGCCACUUAAAUAGUGAUGUAGAUUGGGAAUAAUUGGCAUGGAAAAAUGUCCAUGACAUAUUAUUGAGUGAAAACAGCUGGUUACACAACGGCGUGUAUAACAGGAUCGCACAGCUGUGCAGAAGGGCGCUUGUGGCAGUGCUAACUGUGGUCACCUGUGGGUGGUGGGGUUACAGGUGGCUCACUUCACAGGUAUGUUUUCCGAAUGUUGUUGAGCCCUUUCGGGAAAUGAAUGUGGGUUAUUUUCCAAUAAAAGAGCUAUUUUAUGGUGUGCCUUCUGGAGA